rnacentral:rRNA from 1 species
AACGAACGCGUGGCGGCAGGCCUAACACAUGCAAGUCGAGCGCCCCGCAAGGGGAGCGGCGGACGGGUGAGUAACGCGUGGGAACGUGCCUCUUGCUACGGAAUAGCCUCGGGAAACUGGGAGUAAUACCGUAUGUGCCCUACGGGGGAAAGAUUUAUCGGCAAGAGAUCGGCCCGCGUUGGAUUAGGUAGUUGGUGGGGUAAUGGCCUACCAAGCCGACGAUCCAUAGCUGGUUUGAGAGGAUGAUCAGCCACACUGGGACUGAGACACGGCCCAGACUCCUACGGGAGGCAGCAGUGGGGAAUCUUAGACAAUGGGCGCAAGCCUGAUCUAGCCAUGCCGCGUGAGUGAUGAAGGCCUUAGGGUUGUAAAGCCCUUUAGGUGGGGAGGAAAGGCGGGACGUGAACAGCGUUUCGCACUGACGUUACCCACGGAAUAAGCACCGGCUAACUCCGUGCCAGCAGCCGCGGUAAGGCACGACUGU